ACGAACGCUGGCGGCGUGCCUAAUACAUGCAAGUCGAACGAACUCUGGUAUUGAUUGGUGCUUGCAUCAUGAUUUACAUUUGAGUGAGUGGCGAACUGGUGAGUAACACGUGGGAAACCUGCCCAGAAGCGGGGGAUAACACCUGGAAACAGAUGCUAAUACCGCAUAACAACUUGGACCGCAUGGUCCGAGUUUGAAAGAUGGCUUCGGCUAUCACUUUUGGAUGGUCCCGCGGCGUAUUAGCUAGAUGGUGGGGUAACGGCUCACCAUGGCAAUGAUACGUAGCCGACCUGAGAGGGUAAUCGGCCACAUUGGGACUGAGACACGGCCCAAACUCCUACGGGAGGCAGCAGUAGGGAAUCUUCCACAAUGGACGAAAGUCUGAUGGAGCAACGCCGCGUGAGUGAAGAAGGGUUUCGGCUCGUAAAACUCUGUUGUUAAAGAAGAACAUAUCUGAGAGUAACUGUUCAGGUAUUGACGGUAUUUAACCAGAAAGCCACGGCUAACUACGUGCCAGCAGCCGCGGUAAUACGUAGGUGGCAAGCGUUGUCCGGAUUUAUUGGGCGUAAAGCGAGCGCAGGCGGUUUUUUAAGUCUGAUGUGAAAGCCUUCGGCUCAACCGAAGAAGUGCAUCGGAAACUGGGAAACUUGAGUGCAGAAGAGGACAGUGGAACUCCAUGUGUA
rnacentral:rRNA from 1 species